ACGGCUCAGUAACACGUAAGUAACCUACCCUAUGGAGGCGGAUAACCUCGGGAAACUGAGGGUAAUACGCCAUAGUGAAAAGAUACUGGAAUGUUCUUUUCCCGAAAGUCUUCGGACGCCGUAGGAUGGGCUUGCGGCGGAUUAGGCUGUUGGUGGGGUAAAGGCCCACCAAACCUAUGAUCCGUACGGGCUCUGAGAGGAGUUGCCCGGAGAAGGGUACUGAGACAAGGACCCUAGCCCUACGGGGUGCAGCAGGCGCGAAACCUCUGCAAUGCGCGAAAGCGUGACAGGGGGAUUCCACGUGCAAGCUAUGCUUGCUUUUCUCAAGUUUAAAACGCUUGGGGAAUAAGGACUGGGCAAGACUCGUGCCAGCCGCCGCGGUAAUACGAGCAGUCCUAGUGGCGUUCGCGAAUAUUGGGCCUAAAGCGUGCGUAGCCGGUUGAACAAGUUCUUGGUGAAAUCUUGCGACUCAAUCGUGAGAAUGGCCAAGAAUACUGUUUGACUUGGAGCCGGGAAGGGUCGGAAGUAUUUCAGGGGUAGGAGUAAAAUCCUAUAAUCCCUGGAGGACUAACGGUGGCGAAGGCGUCCGACUGGAACGGGCUUGACGGUGAGGCACGAAAGCUAGGGGAGCGACCCGGAUUAGAUACCCGGUUAGUCCUAGCCGUAAAUGAUGCAGAUUUGGUAUUGCGCGACUUACGAGGUCUCGCGGUGCCGUAGGGAAGCCGUUAAAUCUGCCGCCUGGGAAGUAUGCCCGCAAGGGUGAAACUUAAAGGAAUUGGCGGGGGAGCACAA
rnacentral:rRNA from 1 species